ACACGCACCGGAGCGUCAGCUUCAAGCGGGCGUAACAGUGUAGAUUUUCCCGUACGGGUGGAGAACACGAAGAAAACUCUCUUAGGUAAAGCUCUGAACAGCUGAUGUCUUGUAUCAGUAAACGGAUUUUGACCGGGAAACUAAAAACAAUAAACUGUAGCAGAAAAGAAGAAAAAGAUGUUAAAAUCAGCGUUCUCGGUGUUUCUCUUCUGUUUGCUGCGACGUCUGGACUGUACAGUUUCCCAGCAUGCAUCACCAGUGCAGGUGUAUGAGGGGGUGGAGUCAGUCCUGCUGCCCUGUCAGGUGCCAACUAAUGUUUCCAGGAACUCCACAGCUGUUGUGUGGAGCCGGGAUGAGUUCACUCUCCCAGUGGUCCAUAAGCAUCAGCAGAGCGGUGCCGAUCUUACAAACCAAAACCUUCGUUACAAGAACAGAACAUCAAUGACAGUCGACGCUCUGCAGACUGGAGUCCUCAGCCUCACUCUGAGGAACCCUGCAUACUCCGACAGUGGAACCUACACCUGCACCACUCGCAAGGAUGGAAAACAUCAGAACAAGACUGAAGUACAGCUGAAGGUCUCAGAACGUCCUCCUCCUCCUCCAGUAUGGCCAAUAGUUUUGGCUGUCCUGAUUCCUGUGCUCCUCCUGAAUGCUCUCUACGGUGCCGUUGUGUACCGUGCAUAUAAGAUAGUAAAGAACAGAGCAGUCUGCAUGCUGAAAGCAGAGGAGGUGACACAGGGGGUGGACUCCAUUGAGCUGCCCUGGAGAAAGGACGAAGACCUGCCUGCUGCUGUCAGAGUGAAGUGGACACGUGCACAACCCAGCUAUAAAAAGAUCUGUGUGUGUGUUAUGGAUCAAGGUCAGUGGAAGCUUCAGCCUUAUCGUGAUUAUGAAGGCCGUGUACAGAUGCAUCCAGACCACAUGACUAACAGAGACUUCAGCCUGACUCUGAUGAAGCCUCUCUGUGAAGAUGGAGGUGUUUACCACUGCAUUGUCUUGGACCGGGAUGGAAAUGUCCUUAGACAGGCAAUAGUGGCACUGUGGGUCAAAGAGACCUGGUGGAAAAUCUUCAAAGGUUUGUUCCUGUGUGGUGAGGACACAGCCCCCCCCACUGAUGCAGAAAGAUGGAGGCUAUCUCAGAUGGUAGAGAACUUGGAUGGUCUGACAGCACACUGUUCAUCAGCUGGCUCUUUCUUUGACUUUUUAACAUGGAAGUCUGUUGGGUACUGACUCACUUCUGCCUCUGCUGGACACCAGAUGAACUGCAGGUUUAGACUUGGUAUAUCCAGCUCAGGUCCAAACACUGGACAGAUUCUCAAUCUGGAUCCACCUCUGACUGUCUCUCUUCUGUCCCCACAGAAGAUGGACGCUAAGUAAUUCAGGAUCUCCAAACUUGGAUGGACGUGCUGAUGAAACUCGUCACCUGAACGGUCAAUCAUAGUGACGUGUUGAAGCUGGAGGAUGAUGAAGAGAAUGAUGAAGAGUAGAAGAACCAAAUGCUUGUCGCUGUGCUGAGGUCCAGAUUAAAGCACAGAGGAGGCAGGCCCUUUGCUUUGACUGCCCCUCGACAUCGGGACCUCCGCAACAUCAGAGACCUGUUUAAAAACUAACUUUUAUUUCCUGGCUUUAAACGAUCAUGACUUCGGACUCCUUUUAUUAAGUGUGACUAUGCCAAGAGGCACACUUAUUACUAUGCCUCAGAUUUCUUCUUCUUCUUCUUCUUCUUCUUCUUCU